rnacentral:rRNA from 1 species
UACGUAGGGUGCAAGCGUUGUUCGGAAUCACUGGGCAUAAAGCGCAUGUAGGCGGCUCGAUCAGUCGGGUGUGAAAGCCCCUGGCUCAACCAGGGAAUUGCAUUCGAUACUGUCGAGCUCGAGGGUGGCAGAGGAGAGUGGAACUCGUAGUGGAGCGGUGAAAUGCGUAGAUAUUACGAGGAACACCGGUGGCGAAAGCGACUCUCUGGGCCAUUCCUGACGCUGAGAUGCGAAAGCCAGGGGAGCAAACGGG